rnacentral:rRNA from 1 species
UACGUAGGUGGCAAGCGUUGUCCGGAUUUAUUGGGCGUAAAGCGCGCGCAGGCGGUUUCUUAAGUCUGAUGUGAAAGCCCUCGGCUUAACCGAGGAGGGUCAUUGGAAACUGGGAGACUUGAGUGCAGAAGAGGAAAGUGGAAUUCCAAGUGUAGCGGUGAAAUGCGUAGAGAUUUGGAGGAACACCAGUGGCGAAGGCGACUUUCUGGUCUGUAACUGACGCUGAGGCGCGAAGGCUAGGGGAGCGACCCGG